UACAGAGAGUGCGAACGUUGUUCGGAAUUACUGGGCUUAAAGAGCACGUAGGCGGCAUCGUAAGUGUCAGGUGAAAUCCCACGGCUCACCCGUGGAACUGCCUGGCAGACUGCGAUGCUCGAGUGUGGUAGGGGAGAACGGAACUCCUGGUGGAGCGGUGAAAUGCGUAGAUAUCAGGAGGAACGCCGGUGGCGAAAGCGACUGUCUGGGGUGCCUGUGACGCUGAGGCGCGAAAGCC
rnacentral:rRNA from 1 species